rnacentral:lncRNA from 1 species
UCCAGAAAAACGCAUGUCAAAAAUGUUAUAAAAUGAUUAGCAUUUUAAUGAGGGAAAUAAGUAUUUGACCCCUCUGCAAAACAUGACUUAGUACUUGGUGGCAAAACCCUUGUUGGCAAUCAGAGGUCAGACGUUUCUUGUAGUUGGCCAUCAGGUUUGCACACAUCUCAGGAGGGAUUUUGUCCCACUCCUCUUUGCAGAUCUUCUCCAAGUCAUUAAGGUUUCGAGGCUGACGUUUGGCAACUCGAACCUUCAGCUCCCUCCACAGAUUUUCUAUGGGAUUAAGGUCUGGAGACUGGCUAGGCCACUCCAGGACCUUAAUGUGCUUCUUCUUGAGCCACUCCUUUGUUGCCUUGGCCGUGUGUUUUGGGUCAUUGUCAUGCUGGAAUACCCAUCCACGACCCAUUUUCAAUGCCCUGGCUGAGGGAAGGAGGUUCUCACCCAAGAUUUGACGGUACAUGGCCCCGUCCUUUGAUGCGGUGAAGUUGUCCUGUCCCCUUAGCAGAAAAACACCCCCAAAGCAUAAUGUUUCCACCUCCAUGUUUGACGGUGGAGAUGGUGUUCUUUGGGUUAUAGGCGGCAUUCCUCCUCCAAACACGGCGAGUUGAGUUGAUGUCAAAGAGCUCCAUUUUGGUCUCAUCUGACCACAACACUUUCACCAGUUGUCCUCUGAGUCAUUCAGAUGUUCAUUGGCAAACUUCAGACGGGCAUGCAUAUGUAUUCUUGAGCAGGGGGACCUUGCGGGCGCUGCAGGAUUUCAGUCCUUCACGGCGUAGUGUGUUACCAAUUGUUUUCUUGGUGACUAUGGUCCCAGCUGCUUUGAGAUCAUUGACAAGAUCCUCCCGUGUAGUUCUGGGCUGAUUCCUCACCUUUCUCAUGAUCAUUGCAACUCCACGAGGUGAGAUCUUGUAUGGAGCUCCAGGCCGAGGGAUAUUGACAGUUCUUUUGUGUUUCGUCCAUUUGCGAAUAAUCGCACCAAAUGUUGUCACCUUCUCACCAAGCUGCUUGGCGAUGGUCUUGUAGCCCAUUCCAGCCUUGUGUAGGUCUACAAUCUUGUCCCUGACAUCCUUGGAGAGCUCUUUGGUCUUGGCCAUGGUGGAGAGUUUGAAAUCUGAUUGAUUGAUUGCUUCUGUGGACAGGUGUCUUUUUUACAGGUAACAAGCUGCGGUUAGGAGCACUCCCUUUAAGAGUGUGCUCCUAAUCUCAGCUCGUUACCUGUAUAAAAGACACCUGGGAGCCAGAAAUCUUUCUGAUUGAGAGGGGGUCAAGUACUUAUUUCCCUCAUUAAAAUGCAAAUCAAUUUAUAACAUUUUUGACAUGCAUUUUUCUGGAUUUUUUGUUGUUAUUCUGUCUCUCACUGUUCAAAUAAACCUACCAUUAAAAUUAUAGACUGAUCCUUUCUUUGUCAGUGGGCAAACGUACAAAAUCAGCAGGGGAUCAAAUACUUUUUUCCUCCACUGUAGAGGGCACAACAUGAUCACAGAUAUGUUUUGAUGUGAGAGGAUGCCAACCCCCCAGUCCCACCAUCGCCACCUCACCCGCUUUUAAGAUAACCUUCGGGCUGACUAGAGAUUUUGUAAAUGUGAUGAACUGAGAGAAUAUUUGGGUGUGAUUCAUUAAUCAUAUGCUGCCUUCCCUGCUCCUAUGUUCUUACCUCUUUCCCUGUCUGUCUUUUACACCUCUCUUGCCACCUCUUUCUUCCGGUUUUUAUAAUGCACAACAGAAGUACAGAUUGAACUUGUAUUUAUAAUAUUACAAUUAUAAUAUUUAUAAUGCAUGUAUUCAUAACACUUGAAUAAUGAACUUUCAAUAAGGUGUUUCACAUUCUCUACUGGUUGAAAUUAAGUCUAAUUUGAUGAAAUACUACACCUUUCCUGUUUAUCAGAUCAAUGCAGAUGAAGGGCAUUAGAUAUUGAGAUGAACCGGUUUUAGAGUAUUUACAUGAUAGGAAGUGUAGUGUACUGUUUUUUAAAAUUAUAUUUCUGUAUAUAUGAAUUACAAAUCAGCCAUUAACUAGUAAAAUCCUGUUUCUAGUCUAUUAGUUACAAUGUGUAACCAUUGAUGUCCCAGGACCAAAUUGGUAAACACUGUUGAAGUGUAUAAUUGUAAUACAUACAUGCAGACACAGCAUCAUACAAAGACUGGAAGACUGAGGUUCAUAGCUAGGCUCUGAACUAAUAUGUAUACCAAACAUGUGGGUCCAUACACAGAUCAGCUAGAUAGCUAGCUACACAUCCAUAGGCAUACAGGUAUUUUUAUCUGCCACUGCACAAUAAGCAAGAACAUAGCUAGCUACGUUAUUUAAUCUAUCUGCAUUGCAUAGCAAAUAUCAGCAAGGCAAGCUUACAAACUUGUACAUUCAAUUUGCAGUAAAUGCUUUAGCUAGCAAGAUUCUUUAGAUCCACUGUUUCACAAGAUGACAGCCUGGUUUGCUGGUUGUUUCAGGAGUCCCUAAAACAUGAAACAACCAGAAUUACAAUUUCAUACUCAUGUCACAACACCCAUAAAGCUAGC